rnacentral:rRNA from 1 species
AGUGAACGCUGGCGGUAGGCCUAACACAUGCAAGUCGAACGGCAGCACAGUACUAGCUUGCUCUUACGGGUGGCGAGUGGCGGACGGGUGAUGAAUACAUCGGAAUCUACUUUUUCGUGGGGGCUAACGUAGGGAAACUUACGCUAAUACCGCAUACGACCUACGGGUGAAAGCAGGGGAUCUUCGGACCUUGCGCGAUUGAAUGAGCCGAUGUCGGAUUAGCUAGUUGGCGGGGUAAAGGCCCACCAAGGCGACGAUCCGUAGCUGGUCUGAGAGGAUGAUCAGCCACACUGGAACUGAGACACGGUCCAGACUCCUACGGGAGGCAGCAGUGGGGAAUAUUGGACAAUGGGCGCAAGCCUGAUCCAGCCAUACCGCGUGGGUGAAGAAGGCCUUCGGGUUGUAAAGCCCUUUUGUUGGGAAAGAAAAGCAGCAGGUUAAUACCCCGCUGUUCUGACGGUACCCAAAGAAUAAGCACCGGCUAACUUCGUG